rnacentral:rRNA from 1 species
GACAGAGGGUGCAAACGUUGUUCGGAUUUACUGGGCGUAAAGCGCGUGUAGGCGGCUUGGCAAGUCGGAUGUGAAAGCCCACGGCUCAACCGUGGAAGCGCAUCCGAAACUGCUUCGCCUGAGUCUCGGAGAGGAAGGUGGAAUGCUUGGUGUAGAGGUGAAAUUCGUAGAUAUCAAGCAGAACACCUGCGGCGAAGGCGGCCUUCUGGACGAUGACUGACGCUGAGACGCGAAAGCGUGGGGAGCAAACAGG